UACGUAGGGUGCAAGCGUUAAUCGGAAUUACUGGGCGUAAAGCGUGCGCAGGCGGUUUUGUAAGCCAGAUGUGAAAGCCCCGGGCUCAACCUGGGAACUGCGUUUGGAACUACAAGACUAGAGUGUGUCAGAGGGGGGUGGAAUUCCGCGUGUAGCAGUGAAAUGCGUAGGGAUGUGGAGGAAUACCGAUGGCGAAGGCGGCUCUCUGGACCGAUACUGACGCUGAGACGCGAAAGCGUGGGGAGCAAACAGGAUUAGAAA
rnacentral:rRNA from 1 species